UACGGAGGGAGCUAGCGUUGUUCGGAAUUACUGGGCGUAAAGCGCACGUAGGCGGCUUUGUAAGUUAGAGGUGAAAGCCCGGGGCUCAACUCCGGAACUGGCCUUUAAGACUGCAUCGCUUGAAUCCAGGAGACGGUGAGUGGAACUUCCGAGUGUAGAGGUGAAAUUCGUAGAUAUUCGGAAGAACACCAGUGGCGAAGGCGGCUCACUGGACUGGUAUUGACGCUGAGGUGGCGAAAGCGCGGGGAGCAAACAGG
rnacentral:rRNA from 1 species